rnacentral:tmRNA from 1 species
CGACGGACGUAAUCCGAGCAAAUCCACAAACGCCAACGAUGAGCGUUUCGCACUGGCCGCUUAAGGCCUGCUGAGGACGUAGCCGUCCAAUAAACAGAAUGGCUAUCGGCGGGGGCUUCGGCCCCCGCCGUCA